GUACACACCGCCCGUCACACCAUGAGAGUCGGUAACACCCGAAGCCUGUGAGGUAACCGCAAGGGGCCAGCAGUCGAAGGUGGGAUUGAUGAUUGGGGUGAAGUCGUAACAAGGUAGCCGUAGGUGAACCUGCAGAAGGAUCA
rnacentral:rRNA from 1 species